CUCCCCUUAGUGAAGUGGUUAUCACGUUCGACUGUAAUAUCAAUUGUGUUCGAAAGGUCCCAUGGUUCGACUCCUGGAGGGGAGA